CCUAGGGCCGCAGCAGUGGGGAAUAUUGGACAAUGGGCGAAAGCCUGAUCCAGCAAUGCCGCGUGUGUGAAGAAGGUCUUCGGAUUGUAAAGCACUUUCGACGGGGACGAUGAUGACGGUACCCGUAGAAGAAGCCCCGGCUAACUCCGUGCCAGCAGCCGCGGUAAGACGGGGGGGGCAAGUGUUCUUCGGAAUGACUGGGCGUAAAGGGCACGUAGGCGGUGAAUUGGGUUGAAAGUGAAAGUCGCCAAAAACUGGCGGAAGACUCUCGAAACCAAUUCACUUGAGUGAGACAGAGGAGAGUGGAAUUUCGUGUGUAGGGGUGAAAUCCGGAGAUCUACGAAGGAACGCCAAAAGCGAAGGCAGCUCUCUGGGUCCCUACCGACGCUGGAGUGCGAAAGCAUGGGGAGCGAACGGGAUUAGAUACCCGUGUAGUC
rnacentral:rRNA from 1 species